AAACGCUGGCGGCGUGUCUUAAGCAUGCAAGUCGAGCGGCAGGCGCAGCAAUGCGCUGAGAGCGGCGGACUGGUGAGUAACGCGUGGGUAAUCUACCUUUGGCAUGGGGAUAGCCACUAGAGAUAGUGGGUAAUACCGAAUACGUUCCCUGGGGGGAGGUUUCAGGGAAGAAAGGGUGCUACGGCACCGGCCAAAGAUGAGCUCGCGUCCCAUUAGCUAGUUGGUGAGGUAAUGGCCCACCAAGGCGAUGAUGGGUAGCCGGCCUGAGAGGGUGUACGGCCACACUGGGACUGAGAUACGGCCCAGACUCCUACGGGAGGCAGCAGCUAAGAAUAUUCCGCAAUGGACGAAAGUCUGACGGAGCGACGCCGCGUGGAUGAUGAAGGCCGAAAGGUUGUAAAGUCCUUUUGCUGGGGAAGAAUAAGUGUGGGAGGGAAUGCCCGCAUGAUGACAUGAACCGGCGAAUAAGCCCCGGCCAACUACGUGCCAGCAGCCGCGGUAACACGUAGGGGGCGAGCGUUGUUCGGAAUUACUGGGCGUAAAGGGCAUGUAGGCGGUCUGGUAAGCCUGGCGUGAAAGGCCACAGCUCAACUGUGGGAUUGCGUUGGGAACUGCUGGGCUUGAGUUAUGGAGAGGGAGCUAGAAUUCCUGGUGUAGGGGUGAAAUCUGUAGAUAUC
rnacentral:rRNA from 1 species